rnacentral:lncRNA from 1 species
GACAGCAUACCCGCUGGGGCUGGCCUUCCGGAUGCAUGCGACUAAACCUGCCGGCCCAAGGCAAAUCAGCCUGGGUGCUUCGCUGCGCGACAGCAUACCCGCUGGGGCUGGCCUUCCGGAUGCAUGCGACCUAAACCUGCCGGCCCAAGGCAAAUCAGCCUGGGUGCUUCGCCGCGCGACAGCAUACCCCCUGGGGCUGGCCUUCCGGAUGCAUGCGACCUAAACCUGCCGGCCCAAGGCAAAUCAGCCUGGGUGCUUCGUUGCGCGACAGCAUACCCCCUGGGGCUGGCCUUCCGGAUGCAUGCGACUAAACCUGCCGGCCCAAGGCAAAUCAGCCUGGGUGCUUCGCCGCGCGAGAGCAUACCCCCUGGGGCUGGCCUUCCGGAUGCAUGCGACCUAAACCUGCCGGCCCAAGGCAAAUCAGCCUGGGUGCUUCGCUGCGCGACAGCAUACCCCCUGGGGCUGGCCUUCCGGAUGCAUGCGACCUAAACCUGCCGGCCCAAGGCAAAUCAGCCUGGGUGCUUCGCUGCGCGACAGCAUACCCCCUGGGGCUGGCCUUCCGGAUGCAUGCGACUAAACCUGCCGGCCCAAGGCAAAUCAGCCUGGGUGCUUCGCUGCGCGACAGCAUACCCGCUGGGGCUGGCCUUCCGGAUGCAUGCGACCUAAACCUGCCGGCCCAAGGCAAAUCAGCCUGNGUGCUUCGCCGCGCGACAGCAUACCCGCUGGGGCUGGCCUUCCGGAUAGAAUGCAGCUCCACACGGUAGCUCGGCCCUUCACGAGACCUCCUUCGGAAAAACCUACAGGCUAUGGUUACUUUUGGGCAUUUGCUCCUGCCGAAGUGUGAAGCCGACGACUAGGUGCCUCUUUUUCCCCGGGGGGUGGCCCCCAGUGGGCGUGCCCCUGCCUAGGCGCUAUUGCGGGCUUUUGGCUGCUUUCAGGACAGGGACCCGUUGGGAUAACAGACCCCGCUGCGCCAUCUCAAAGCAACUACCCCUCUGCCGCGGCGCCAUCCACCGGAAACGGACCCAACCUCACGAGCACUAAUACUCUGAGUCGGCCACUCGCGGUCUACAGAUUCGUGUUCUUCAUAAGCUAAGCCUGACCCGUAGCUUCUAAUCCAGCCUGGUCAAACAACAGCGGCGGCGCAUCCCUUUCCCGCUAUUUUAAAACUGGGUCCGGUCUCUCCCAUGCCUUUGAUAUAACAGAACUUGCGGCGGCUGGCUGUGCCUACAGUCUGACCGCGCGGAGCAAUAGCUGGCGUCUGUUACUCACCGCAUCGGCCCCCUCCGGGUAACUAGGUGCUCCGCCAUUCUGGUGUCCUCCUUCGUCCCGCUGUUGGAGGAUGUCCUCCAAGCCUUCUUGGCCUCCGCCGCGCGAUUGCUCGCGCUCUGCCAUCACUUCGCUGUUACUGGCGACCGAUAUGCCAGCAACGUCAAAUCGCCUUAUCUACUUUACUAUUGAGCUGGGUCCCGAAUACAAAGUAAAUCACUAUUUAAACAAUUCAAAAUCCCCAACAGACGACGUUCUGACUUGCGCUUGCUUGCACGGUUGACUGGCGAACUAGCGUUGUCUGGAUUCAGCGCUUUGUUCCCAGCUAAUCUUUG